rnacentral:rRNA from 1 species
UACGAAGGGUGCAAGCGUUAUUCGGAAUAACUGGGCGUAAAGAGCGUGAAGGCGGUAUUAUAAGUUGUCUGUAAAAGCCUGUGGCUUACCCACAGAACAGCAGACAAUACUGUAAAACUAGAAUGCGAGAGAGAGGGGUAGAAUUCUCGGAGUAGCGGUAAAACGCGUAGAUCUCGAGAGGAACACCGAUGGCGAAGGCAGCCCCUUGGUUCGUAAUUGACGCUGGAGCGCGAAAGCGUGGGGAGCAAACAGG